UAUAUUUGCACCCAUUCAGGUGAUAUGACAUUCUUUCUGUCUGUCAUAUAAAAGGGAAUUCAGUGAAAAGCUGAAACAGUGCCCGCUACUGUAUGGUCCUAUUUGCUUAUCUAUCUAAAAAAGAUGGAAUAAAGCAAACGAAAAGUAUUCUCAUCUAUAACCACUGUCCUGAAAUUGCAGAAUGUUUUCUCUGAAGUCAGAAGGGCGGGAAGGUUGGACUUUUCGGAAAGGCUGAGUCAGGAAACCUGCCUGAGACAUUGCAUAACA
rnacentral:ncRNA from 2 species